CCUACGUGAGGCAGCAGUGGGGAAUAUUGGGCAAUGGGCGCAAGCCUGACCCAGCAACGCCGCGUGAAGGAAGAAGGCUUUCGGGUUGUAAACUUCUUUUCUCAGGGACGGAGAAAGUGACGGUACCUGAGGAAUAAGCCACGGCUAACUACGUGCCAGCAGCCGCGGUAAUACGUAGGUGGCAAGCGUUAUCCGGAUUUACUGGGUGUAAAGGGCGUGUAGGCGGGGAAGCAAGUCAGAUGUGAAAGCCACGGGCUCAACCUGUGGCCUGCAUUUGAAACUGUUUUUCUUGAGUACUGGAGAGGCAGACGGAAUUCCUAGUGUAGCGGUGAAAUGCGUAGAUAUUAGGAGGAACACCAGUGGCGAAGGCGGUCUGCUGGACAGCAACUGACGCUGAGGCGCGAAAGCGUGGGGAGCAAACAGGAUUAGAUACCCCUGUAGUC
rnacentral:rRNA from 1 species